AUACGUAGGGGGCAAGCGUUGUCCGGAAUUAUUGGGCGUAAAGGGUGCGUAGGCGGCCUUUUAAGUCAGAUGUGAAAGACCACGGCUUAACCGUGGGGUUGCAUUUGAAACUGGAGGGCUUGAGUAUCGGAGAGGGUAGUGGAAUUCCCAGUGUAGCGGUGAUAUGCGUAGAUAUUGGGAGGAACACCAGUGGCGAAGGCGACUACCUGGACGAAAACUGACGCUGAUGCACGAAAGCUAGGGGAGCAAACAGGAUUAGAUACCCUGGUAGUCCUAGCCGUAAACGAUGGGUACUAGGUGUAGGGGGUUUCGAUACCUUCUGUGCCGGAGUUAACGCAUUAAGUACCCCGCCUGGGGAGUACGUGCGCAAGCAUGAA
rnacentral:rRNA from 1 species